rnacentral:rRNA from 1 species
GACGAACGCUGGCGGCGUGCUUAACACAUGCAAGUCGAACGGAAAGGCCCUGCUUGCAGGGUGCUCGAGUGGCGAACGGGUGAGUAACACGUGGGUGAUCUGCCCCUUACUUUGGGAUAAGCCUGGGAAACUGGGUCUAAUACUGGAUAGGACCAUGCUGUAGGUGGUGUGGUGGAAAGAUUAGUUUCGGUAAGGGAUGAGCUCGCGGCCUAUCAGCUUGUUGGUGGGGUAAUGGCCUACCAAGGCGUCGACGGGUAGCCGGCCUGAGAGGGUGGACGGCCACAUUGGGACUGAGAUACGGCCCAGACUCCUACGGGAGGCAGCAGUGGGGAAUAUUGCACAAUGGGCGCAAGCCUGAUGCAGCGACGCCGCGUGGGGGAUGACGGCCUUCGGGUCGUAAACUCCUUUCAGCCAUGACGAAGCCUUCGGGUGACGGUAGUGGUAGAAGAAGCACCGGCUAACUACGUG